rnacentral:rRNA from 1 species
CGUUAGCGGCGGACGGGUGAGUAACACGUGGGUAACCUACCUAUAAGACUGGGAUAACUCCGGGAAACCGGGGCUAAUACCGGAUAACACAUGAAACUGCAUGGUUUCAUGAUGAAAGACGGUUUUGCUGUCACUUAUAGAUGGACCCGCGGCGUAUUAGCUAGUUGGUAAGGUAACGGCUUACCAAGGCAACGAUACGUAGCCGACCUGAGAGGGUGAUCGGCCACACUGGAACUGAGACACGGUCCAG